UUAUUCUCGGUUUGAUAAAUACGGUAUAGUAUGGUUUAAUACGUGUUAUUUAGAAGAGAGAUUAUGGUAAUGGUUUAGCGCGUAUAAUGCACGGGUUUUGUGUGCAUGUUUUAGCGCGAAAGCGCACGAGUUUUUCGUUUUGGGGUAUAUAUGAUUUGCACAUCUAAUGAGACGCCAUUCGAGGGUUGUUUUUGACAGGCAAAGUUAUGGAGCAAGAAAACGAAAGGGUGAUAAAGUAGUUUAGGCGUUCAUUUGCGAAAUACAUAGUAUUUGGAAGGAGAUUUUCGAUGAGAGGACUGAUUCUCUGCUAGAAGCGGAAUGGUGAGCUGGAACUUCGAACAAAGGUCAGACUUGUUGGUUCUGUUUAUUGUAAUAACACUGGCAACAACAUUCCGAUUGAAAUUAACACAGGUUGUGUUCCGUGUUAACUUUUAUGAUAAGUAUAUUCAAUAACAUGCUCCAUAUCUUUAUUUGUGCUGUUGUUUUUGUUUAGUUCCAAUUAUUCAGAUACAUCAAUUGAUUUGAUUAUUGGGUAAAAAUGAAACUAUUUAAGUUCAAAAAGAGGUCGCAAAUGUAAUGGUCUGGUAGGAUUAUAUAUAGGUAAGGCCACAUAGUGUGUCACUCCAGGUUGUUUUGAUAGCAGAGUUAGAUCACUCUCCCUCAUGUUUUUACGAACACCUUGCUUUAUUUUUAUUGUUUAUAAGAUAUAACACCUUAUAUGGUAAUACAUGUGUUACAAGUUUGUGUAUUAGUUCCAAGCGUAUAAUUCAACAAACGAUUAAUAACAAUUAAAUGCCGUUUUCCUUAUAAUUCAGCUAGAUGGUUGUGUGCGAUAUAUGACGUGGUAUGAUAAUGAGCGGAUAAAAAUUUAUGCGAACAUAUCUUUAAACUAUUCAGGUAUUCCAAUUGUGAAUUAAGAAUGAAACAUCAAAAAUCGAUACAUUACGGAAAUAUAUAUUCCGGGGGCAGCUCGAAAGGUAUAAUUUGUUUGUUUUUUUGUGUAACUAUGUGUUAGAAAAUAACUUGUUAAGAUUAAUAAUGAUGAUUUCAUUGAUGAUGAUGUUAUAAAUGUUGAUGAUGAUGCUAACGUUAUUGAUGAGGAGGAGGAAUAGUUGACAGUAUUUUGUGAAUGGAUAAUACUACAUUAACGAAUUUUUAGUGAAUGAAAUUAUUUUAGGUUUGAUAAAUACCGAAUGAUGUUGGUCUAUACAUAUUAUUUAGAAGAGAAAGUGAGUAUGGUUAUGGUUUAGCACGUAAAAAUGAAUGAGUUUCUAGGUUUUGCGUUUAAUUGACAAAAACAAGUAACGGUUCAGCAACAGGGAUUAUUCUCAGAUGGUACAUGUAUUCCUUUUAGAGUCACAGAAAUUCAACUUUGCAUCAAUACCGGUUUCUUUGAGAUUUGUUUGAUGGGUUAAAAUUCCAAAAAUUGACGAGUUUUGCAGCCGACCAAGUACCUAUAGCUUUGUAUUUGAGUGUGUUAAGCAUUUUGUUGUUUUCAAAUUAGUAAAUCAAAAUUAAUACGGUGUUCUAGUAUAUCAAUUGAGCUUAUGCUAUUGCCAUGGAAAUUUGAGCCAGGGUUCGAUCAGUAGCUUAAAGUUUGUCUGUGUUGGUGAAUUGAACCUUUAAACAAAUGUCAAGUCGGUAAUUUUAAUUUUAAGAGCAGAACAUACGUAUUGAUUGUGAGAACAUUAGUAAAAUGUGUUUGGUAUUUGUGCAUGUCUCUUGUGGUCAUUGGACCAAGUUGUUUAAGGCCAAUUGGCCUGAUUUUGAAAGCCAGUUGGCUUGUACGGUCAGUUGACCGUUUUUAAAGCCAGUCUAUAUGGUGUGUGAAAGCCUGUUGGCUUGUGUUGUCAGGUUACCGAACUUUCUUGGAACGAAAGUCUCAUAGAAUUUACAAUAUUUGCAAACUUAUUGUUUGCAAUGCAGUAACUGGACAGUUCGAAUAGUAUAUUAAGUAUUGAAGAACAUAAAGGUAUGGUUUAUGUAGUAUGUUAUUAUUAUUACUAUGAUUAUUAUGAUGUAUUUUAUUUGGGUGCAUUCGGAAAAUUGCAAAGCCGGUAGUUAAAAGGAGCCUAUUACAUCAGAUAUAUUAAAGAAAUUUUAUCACACUUGUUUCUGAGAGCGAUUGUUCUUUGGGGUAUUUAAGAGGCGUUACAAUCUUUUUCUUAUUUUAUGCUGUUUUUUUUUUUUUUUUUUUUUUUUUUUUUUUAGGAUAAGUGAAAUUUUGUCUGUUAAAAGAUCAAAUGUUGUAUUUUUAGAUACGCAUUGUGAUAUUAAAGUUGAAAAGUCAAAAACGGACAUUUUAAGAGAGGGUAAUACUGUUCUGAUUGCAAAAACUAAUACAGACACAUGUCCUGUGAAAUUGUUUGAAAAGUAUUUGUGUUGCAGAUAUUGCAUGUUCAUCUACUGAUAAUGUGUUAAGACCAGUUUAUUUGUGUAAUGUUAAACACUGUUUCAAAUUGAUUUCUAAUAAUAAGCAUAUAAGUUAUUCUACUAUAAAUGAUAGUUUUAAGAAGAAGUUAAGUCUAUUGGGUUAUGUUUCUUCUAAAUAUGGACUUCAUUCUUUUCGCUGGUGGAGCAUCUAUAAGUGCCAAUAAUAAGACUGUGGAUACACUUUGGCAAAGACAUGGUAGAUGAAAAAGUGUUUCCACUAAGGACGGAUAUGUUAAAGAUUCUUUGAAAGACAGAUUAUCGGUGUCGCUAAAUUUAGAUUUGUGAAAAGUCAUUAUUAAUGUAUGUGCGAUUUGAAAUGUAUGAUGUGUUGUUCGUAGCACAUUUAAAGACACUAUAAUAUAUUAUUAUAUAAAUGGUUUGGAAAUGCUUUUGAGUAUUAUUAAGUUCUGUGUUUGUGUUGUGUGUAUGUUUCCUUGUGGUCAUUGGACCAAUUUGUUUACGGCCAUUUGGCCUGAUUUGGUAAGCCAGUUGGCUUGUAUGGUCAGUUGACCGUUUUUUAAAGCAAGUUGAUGUGAUGUGUGAAAGCCGGUUGGCUUUUGUGAGUUGAACUUAUUUUCUUAAAAAGCAUGUUCACAUGGAAUUAACAAUCUUUGCAAGUUUAUUUUUUGCAGUGCAGUAACUGGACAGUACGAAUGGUAUAUUAAGUAUUGGAGAACAUAAAGUUAAAACACAGUUCGAGAGGUAUAUAACGUGGUGGAGAAUAUUUAGGUAUUCAUUUUAUGUUUUAUAUUAUUUGUAUUCUCUCUUUGUUUUAUUCGAAAGUCCUGUCAAAUACAAGCACUCACUCCUAUUUUGUCUUUGGUUUAUUAUUUGUUUGAUAAUGAUAAUGAUGAUGAUAUGGGUUAUAAAGAUGAUGAGAUUUUAAUAGUAUUUUGAGAAUAGAGAAUAAUAAAUUUACUCAUAACUAUGAGUAAAUGAAAUUAUUCUCGGUUUGAUAAAUACGGUAUAGUAUGGUUUAAUACGUGUUAUUUAGAAGAGAGAUUAUGGUAAUGGUUUAGCGCGUAUAAUGCACGGGUUUUGUGUGCAUGUUUUAGCGCGAAAGCGCACGAGUUUUUCGUUUUGGGGUAUAUAUGAUUUGCACAUCUAAUGAGACGCCAUUCGAGGGUUGUUUUUGACAGGCAAAGUUAUGGAGCAAGAAAACGAAAGGGUGAUAACCCCGCCCGCCCGCCCUUAAUGAACAUAUGUUUGGUUAAAUAAUUGGUUACAUUGCUUUUAUGUUUAUAAUUUUGCAAUUAUAAAGUCUAUAUUUAGUAUAUUUUCAGUUCGGUUUUUAGUCCAUGUGAGAUGGGAUCUUAACACAAACCGAUUCCUUUACUGGGAAAGACGAUGGGUGUAUUUUCAUUUAAGUCUGAAGCAGCUAAGUUUUCUGGAUUAUUUUGACUCAUUUUUUACUUAAUAUUGUGUUUGAAUGAGGUUUUUUAAGUUAUGGGUGUCAUGUUUUUCGAGACUCUCACUUCCUGGAGAUAGUUCCUCCAGCAUUUUUAUUGAAAUAUUGGUAUGUUUAAAUUUCAGUGUUAUUAUUUUUUGUUGUCUUUCGUAAUGAACGUUUAAUUUUAAAGACAUUCUUAUUGUACGAUUACUUAAUAUUUUCAUUUUGGUGUGACUGGUUAGAUGUUGAAGUCGGUUUAAUAUAGCUGUUCGUCAUAUGCAUUUAUAUAUUUCUCGGAAUACUUAUGAUUUAUCAACAUUCUUUUUAGGUGCUUUAUGGAUUUUAUGGUUUGAGUGAUUUGUUUGUUUUUAUGUUGAUGUCCGGGGUGUGUGCGGGAUGCUUUUGAUGUUUGUUUGUUAUGUUAAUUUGCGCAAUGAAAUUGAUAAUGUUUUAAUUACAUUUUUUACUAAAUAAUACUUAAUGUUUACAGUAUAAUAAUAGCUGCUUAUUUGUAGAUUUCUCUAAAAUUAGAGGUUUCGGGAGGUGAUGAAGGCACCUAGACACCGGUCUCGAGCCAUGGGUCCUCAUACGUCCCCCUGCCAUUAAAAGAAAAAAAAAAAAAUAAGAAAACAAAAAUGGCAGUAGGGUUGCGUAUCCCGCUCGCGGUUUUACCUGAAUCGUUUAUUACUACUGAUUAUUGUAUGGGGUGUACGUGAAGUCAUGUACACUUCUCUUGAUUGGUGGUGAUGGAUGAAUCUUGCAGAUAUUAGCAGCUUCUUUGAACAAAUUAAUGUUUCACAAUUGUUAAUUUAUAAUAUUUAAGCAAAUUAGCGUGAUUGAUGGGCAUUGUGGGCGUCCUGUGUGCACUUUGGGCAUCGGCCGGGAUCAGUUUAUUCAAACAGUAACUCUUUAUUUUAGAUAUAUACAUGACGUCUAAUUGUUAUGAAUAAAUUUGCAUUUUUUCACAUGACACACAUGUGCAUGUGAAGAAUUCAUAAUUACAUGCCCUACAGCAUUUAAAUAGUAUCGUUUCAGUUCUUUAUACACCUGAACAAAGAUGUUACACUGUUUCCAGUCGUCUCGAGGCUCAUCAAUUGAGCGGUGCCGUUGAGGUCUAUAUCCAUUGCACAUACAACACAUACGGGCGUCAGAAGAAUUGUUUUUUGCAUUUAUAUGUUGAAAGUCCUGUCAAAUACAAGCACUCACUCCUA